UUGUUUAUCAAAAACAUGUCCUGUAGUAUUUUAUUAUAGGUCUAACCUGCCCAAUGAUUAAAUUUGAAUGGCCGCAGUAUUUUGACUGUGCAAAGGUAGCAUAAUCAUUUGUCUUUUAAUUGAAGGCUUGUAUGAAUGGUUGGACGAGGAACUAGCUUUCUUUAAUUUAAUAUUUAUUAAUUUAAUUUUUAAGUCAAAAAGCUUAAAUAUUUUUGCAAGACGAGAAGACCCUAUAGAAUUUUAUUUUAUGGUGAAGGUUUUAUAUUUAGUUUAUAUUUAUAUAAUUUUUAUUAUAAAAUUUUGUUGGGGUGACAUUGAGAUUUUAUUAACUCUCAAUUAUUUAAUAUCACUUAUAAGUGUAUAUUUUGAUCCUUUAUUAUAGAUUAUAAGAUUAAAUUACCUUAGGGAUAACAGCGUAAUUCUUCUGGAGAGUUCUUAUUGAUGGAUUGAGUUUGCGACCUCGAUGUUGGAUUAAAGUAAGUUUGUGGUGCAGAAGCUAUAUAACUAAGUCUGUUCGACUUUUAAAUCUUUACGUGAUCUGAGUCAAA
rnacentral:rRNA from 1 species